AGGACGAACGCUGGCGGCGUGCUUAACACAUGCAAGUCGAGCGGAAAGGCCCUUCGGGGUACUCGAGCGGCGAACGGGUGAGUAACACGUGAGCAACCUGCCCCUGGCUCUGGGAUAGCCUCCGGAAACGGGGAUUAAUACCGGACAUUCACUGCCUGCCGCAUGGUGGGUGGUGGAAAGUUUUUCGGCCAGGGAGGGGCUCGCGGUCUAUCAGCUUGUUGGCGGGGUAACGGCCCACCAAGGCGACGACGGAUAGCCGGCCUGAGAGGGCGAUCGGCCACACUGGGACUGAGACACGGCCCAGACUCCUACGGGAGGCAGCAGUGGGGAAUAUUGCACAAUGGGCGCAAGCCUGAUGCAGCGACGCCGCGUGGGGAUGAAGGCCUUCGGGUUGUAACCCCUUUCACCAGGAGCGAAUUCAGACGGUACCGUAGGGGAAGAAGGCGCCGGCUAACUACGUGCCAGCAGCCGC
rnacentral:rRNA from 1 species